rnacentral:lncRNA from 1 species
AUACUAUAUUUAUUUUAAGUUAUUGAAUUAUUAUAACUGCCUUAUUUCAGACAGAAGUACAAGCGAACAGAUGACACACAGCGGCUGCAGAAGCUUUAAAAGUUAGAUAGAGCUGGGGCAGUCAAAACAGUUGGAUAAUACUUCUAUGGUGUCCAACAUGUCCAGUGAGGUUGACAGAAGUGGAAGAUGGUCUGAUGGUACAAUGAUGUGCAGAUGAUACUCUGUAACAAGUUUAACAUGUCAAAGUGUAAAAUGUUCCGUGGAUUCAUAUGAUGAUAAUGCCAGUGUUGAUUUGUAUGACUUAUUUAAACACAGAUAUUGAUACCUUCAGAUAUGUACCUGUGAAAUCUUCAGUGUCACCGUUCAGCUGUCGUUCAAGAUCAGUGUCUGCAGCUUGCACAGUUUAGUAUAGAGGAGCCUACUGAAUCAAUUUUGUUACAUAUUUGCUGUUAUUAUAGGACACACAUGUAGAGAGCAGCAAGUCCUGUAAAUGUGAUUCAGAAACUCUGAGAAUAUGUAAACAUUACACUGAUAUAAUUUUCAAAAUACUGUGUCGUGUAGUGUAUCAGUACUGUUUUGUCUCAGUUUAGCUCAGUAUGUUCACAAAUCAAACUUAAGAUCAUAAUGAUCAGUAUUAUUAAAAUCAUUAAUUAUUUGUAUGGUGACAAAAUUUAAUUUCAUGAAAUACCACAGUAAAACGUUUGAUAAUUUCCGCUUUUAAAGUUGUGAGUUUAAAGUUGGCAUAAAUUGUUUUUCUCCUUCAUCAAUCUAAAAAGUGAUUGGUCAUUGUAAUUGCAAUAUCAUUUUAGUAUGACAAAGUUUAUAUUGAACUAAAACACUAAUGUAAAUUUUUGAACUGGUCAA